AAUGUGCUUACUUGGGAUCUUUCCCUGCUUCUCAAUAAGACAACACUCGGCCUCCCUUGUUCAUGACCAGAAAGACAUGUCAUUCUGAUUCAUCUCUUGAACAGAGAUGGGAGACAGAUGAUGAUCAUUUUUUGUGUCAUAAAUGAAGUGACACCAAAAGGAUUUGCUAACUGCCCCCAGACAAGUCUCCAUGGAGAGAAGUGGACGUAAGCAAGCAGUACCUAGAGUGCUUUGAGUGUCAGAGCACAGUCCUUGAAUUGCAAAGGCAAGAAAUCCUGAACAGUUGAAGAAAGGAGAAAACUCGCUGAGCGCAAGCAAGCAAACAAGAAUCUGUAUCCACGUCCCUUCCAUUUCCUCUUCGGAAGGAGACAACAGCCAAACAGGACAAAACAGGACACAACAAGACAAGAUGAAAACCCUCAUUUGGAUGCUGGACAAAGAGUCAGAAACAUACCCAAUUUCACUGUCAGGAGUCCCACAAAAACACCAAGCAAACAGCCAGAACAUAU